CGGGUUCUAGCCUUCUCGUGAGGGGCCCAAAUCCUAGUGGCCUUAAUUAUUCUUGAGGGAGCCGGCUCUGUGACUGGCCCUGGCCUAUCGCACCUGGCGCCCACCUGGUUAUCCAGGCUCUCAAGGAUUGCACGCGCCCACGGUCGCGCCGGGCCCGCU
rnacentral:other from 1 species